rnacentral:lncRNA from 1 species
GGAGGGACAACGGUCUCCCUGGACAGAUCCAAGAGGAAGGGACUUGGGCCGCACCGAGCGCCGUGGGAGAGGCUGUGGGAGAGGCGGGCUCAGGUCCAAGGGAAGCCAGAGCAGAGCAGCAGGGCCACCAGCUGGGGGUGGGUGGGACAGUGUGUCCCCAACCGCCCAGGGCUAUUCCACCCUGCCCUUGUCCAGGCCCCGGACUGGAGGGAAGCCCCACCUGGCCCGAGGCUGGCCUGCAGCCGCGGGGGAAAGUCUGCCUCGAUCCUGGGGACCCCUGGAGACCAGCUGAGUGGCCCUGCUGGCAAUGGAGGGGAAACCACAGCCACCCCUCCCCCAGGGGGGAGGGUCACGCAGCAGUUGGGAGAGAGGAAGGGCUCACACACAUCACCAUGACAGGGUGGGCACAGAGGUGCCACCUCAGCAUAAGGUACAGCAUAUUUUUAUUCAUUUAUUAUUUUGAAAUAUUUAUUAUUAUUAUUUUUUAACGGACACAAUAUCUUUCCUUUGCAUUUGUGCGGUGCCUCGGGCAUGCCAGGCCAUC